AUGUUUCCUCCAGGCCAAGACUCUACAGAUACUGAGGAAGAUGAGGGAAAGGAGUCUGCAACAGUCCUCUGUGAAGGACUGAUGGAGCUGACCCCUCCAGCUCCAAGCUCUACACACAAGGGAAUUGUCAUGUCCAUCCCACCUGACCAUUUUGGUAACCAUCCACUGCAUCUGGAGAGGCACAAAAGGAUCUUUGGGGCGGAAUUAGUCCAGAGCACAACUUCUCCAGGAUUUGCCGAUUCAACUGCCUUCUAAAACUGCACAGACAUUAGCUAAUUAAUGUGAUCUUCCCAUUCUUAUUGGAAGAGAUCUGCGUAACCCACUUCAAUGGAUUAAAAGUUAAAAUACAAGGUCAUUCUAUCUUCUUU
rnacentral:lncRNA from 1 species